ACGGAAGGCAGCAGUGGGGAAUAUUGCACAAUGGGGGAAACCCUGAUGCAGCGACGCCGCGUGAGUGAAGAAGUAUUUCGGUAUGUAAAGCUCUAUCAGCAGUGAAGAAAAUGACGGUACCUGACUAAGAAGCCCCGGCUAACUACGUGCCAGCAGCCGCGGUAAUACGUAGGGGGCAAGCGUUAUCCGGAUUUACUGGGUGUAAAGGGUGCGUAGGCGGCACGGCAAGUCAGAAGUGAAAUCCCAGGGCUUAACCCUGGAACUGCUUUUGAAACUGUCGAGCUAGAGUACAGGAGAGGUAAGCGGAAUUCCUAGUGUAGCGGUGAAAUGCGUAGAUAUUAGGAUGAACACCAGUGGCGAAGGCGGCUUACUGGACUGACACUGACGCUGAGGCACGAAAGCGUGGGGAGCAAACAGGAUUAGAUACCCUGGUA
rnacentral:rRNA from 1 species